UUUACGAAGGAAUGUCUAGAAGAAGCACAGGGAAAGGCAGUCCAGUGAUCCUUCCCUGAAUUUUUUACUCUUCGAUGUCAGCCUUUAAUUGCCUUGAGAUGGGGGAAUUCAAAUACUAAGGAUCCAUGAACUCCAAGGCUUUUGCAUUUACUAUAUUUAACAUCUGGGAAUUUAGUAAACAUCACUUCUGUGAAAAGCUACUGAUGGUGUUACCCAUUCGUCAAAACCAACUGGCAUGAGACCCCAGCUGGAAUCGUUUACGAAAAAUUCCACCUUCUGAGGCACAGAGUCUAGCAGAGAAGAGCAGAAGAUGGCACUAGAAGACAACAAGUGGAGAAUAACCAGCAUACUUAUAACAGUGAAAUAUAAGUGCCCCCUCAUCUGUGGGGGAUACGUUCCAAGACCCCUCAUGGAUAUCUGAAACUGCCAAUAGUAGAAGAUUCAUUCUUAUCAUAGAUCUUAGCGACCUCAGCAUAAGGAUUUUUUUCUUUCCUUAAUAAUUCAAAAACUUUCGCCUUUUCACUUAAAAGAAGUACUUUAUGACUAUCUGGAAUUUUUCAUUUAACAUUUUCAGAUCUUGGUCGAUCCUAACUGAAACUUCGGAAGCAAAACCACAGAUAAGCGGAAACUACUGUACUGGGAACUCAGAUGUUUGAUAAUAGAGGAAACCUUAACUAAAUAAUGAUAUUAACCAUUCUGCAAUUAAAGUGCUCAGAAGACCAUUAUGUAAUUAGGGAGUACAGAAGAGAGAGCAACCAACUACUUGCACAGAUUGUAAUAAAAGAUUU